CUAUAUUACAACUCAAAUACUGAUAACAGUUAAAAUUGAAUGCACAAUCACACAAUGGACUUUUGUUUAUGGCAUCUAUCAUGUCAGGUGCUGAAAUGACCAUGAUACAAAUAUCAUUAAUGUGCAUUUGCUCUAAAUGCAUGAUAGUAAUAAUGUUGUGAGAUUUGAUAUCAUCCAACUAAAACUGCAAGAAUUGCAAGCUGUUUCUUAUUGUGUAAAUUUUAAAACUGGCAGAUGUGUUAGAUGAACCAAGAAUAUGCCCAUGAGUACAUGUUAUUUUUAAUUUCAGGAUAUGUAUGACUAAUAAUAGAUUUAACAAUUUAAACAACGAAAGAUUCUGAACCUGGGAAAAAGUGGAUUUGAGAUUAAAGCUUACAAACCAUGAGUCGAGCGUAGUAAGAAAGUCGAUUUGAGUUUAAAGCUUACAAACCAUGAGUCGAGCGUAGUAAGGAAACUAAUUUUGCACAUUAAAUAUAAAUUUUUAAUAAAUAAAAUAUUAUAUUGCAUGAUUAAUUUUAAUGCUUUUUAAAAUUUUAAAAUCUUUAAAAUGUUUUAUUUUAUGCUAUAAUGCUUAUUAAUGUUCAGAAAUCUUCUUUAAAAUUCAUUUAAAGUGUACUUAGAAACCUAAUUUCACUGAAAAAUGUCUUCAGAUUUUUAUGGCCUCAACAAAACAGUCGUUGAGAUGAAAACUUUGACAUUUAUAGUAUUAAAUUCUUUAAAACACACUAAAAAUGCAAAAUAAUAAUCAACUCAUAUUCAGGUUAUUCCAGAAAGGGGGAUUUGGAUUGUGUGUAUAAAAUAAAUAAAUUUUCUUUUUGAAGUACAUUUUUUAAUCACCACAAGAAAGCACGGAGUUUCUACUGGAUCUCUGAAAAGGUCUCAGAAGAAUAUAUUAUUUCAUAUUUCAGUUUGACAAAGGAAUCUACGGGGCCUGACCUUCAUCAUAUGGAGAUAUUGUUGGAUUAUGACUUAUCUAGAAGGGAAGGUAAAGAAAAUAAUUUAAAAGCAUUUUGAGAAAAGGCUAACUUAUGAAAAGUUUCAAGUUCAAGAAGUUCUUUCAUUUGAAUAUUUUCUUAGGGAUCAGAAUUGUGCCAGGACAUUUUUUUAGUCUACUUGAGACUUGAAUAAAAAUUUUAUUUCGCUGUUCUGUUAACUGAAUUUCACUCAAGAGGUCUGGGAAGAAGAAAGACUACACAAAUUUCUUUUAUUGUUGAAGACUGUAUUUAAAAAAAAAAAAAAAAAAAAAAAAAAAAA